GGACCCGCACAAGCGGUGGAUGAUGUGGUUUAAUUCGAUGCAACGCGAAAAACCUUACCCACCUUUGACAUGUAUGGAAGAUCGCAGAGACGCGAUUGUGCUCGAAAGAGAGCCAUAACACAGGUGCUGCAUGGCUGUCGUCAGCUCGUGUCGUGAGAUGUUGGGUUAAGUCCCGCAACGAGCGCAACCCUUGUCAUUAGUUGCUACAUUUAGUUGGGCACUCUAAUGAGACUGCCGGUGACAAACCGGAGGAAGGUGGGGAUGACGUCAAGUCCUCAUGGCCCUUAUAGGUGGGGCUACACACGUCAUACAAUGGCUGGUACAAAGGGUUGCCAACCCGCGAGGGGGAGCUAAUCCCAUAAAGCCAGUCGUAGUCCGGAUCGUAGUCUGCAACUCGACUACGUGAAGUCGGAAUCGCUAGUAAUCGUGGAUCAGAAUGUCACGGUGAAUACGUUCCCGGGUCUU
rnacentral:rRNA from 1 species